rnacentral:rRNA from 1 species
GAUGAACGCUAGCGGCAUGCCUAACACAUGCAAGUCGAGCGAUAAGCCUUCGGGCUAAGACCUGCGCACGUGUGCGUAACGCGUAUACAAUCUGCCUUUUAUCCUGGGGAUAACCCUGAGAAAUUUGCAUUAAUACCCUAUUAUAUAAGAGCACGGCAUCGUACACUUAUUAAAGCUACUGCGGUACAAUAUUAGUAUGCGUUCUAUUUGCUAGUUGGAGAGGUAACGGCUACCCAAGGCGACGAUAGAUAGGGGUUCUGAGAGGGAUGUCCCCCACACUGGUACUGAGAUACAGACCAGAAUGCUACGGGAGGCAGCAGUGAGGAAUAUUGGACAAUGGUCGGAAGACUGAUCCAGCCAUGCCGCGUGCAGGAUGACGGCCUUAUGGGUUGUAAACUGCUUUUGUAAGGGAAGAAUAAGGAGUACGUGUACUUUGAUGACGGUACCUUACGAAUAAGCAUCGGCUAACUACGUG